GAGGCGGAACCCAGAGGGCGCUUCAGCAGCUCCGGUGGGCAAUUUGGAAAAUUAAGCUCUUACCUGUUUCUGAUCAAGAAAAUUAAUGAUUCGCAUGGAUGUCAGUUGACAACGGCAAGGCACGAGCACGCCCCAUUGCCUCUGCCUGCACCAUUAAAAUGUGAUCCCGCAGUUUUAUAAUGAAGCGUCUCAGAUUCAUCACUAAAGUGUGUCUUUGAGUCCGCGCGCCACAGCAGCGCCGAUCAGAAGCUCUGCUGCCACAGCUGUGCACAUUCGCGCGACGCCCCUGACUGAUGCCUGACAGACGAGGUGAUGGAGAGGCGCAAGAGCACGUCGGUGCAGAGCCGAGCGAACCACCGGCAGGAGCAGCGGCAGCGGAAUCAGCCUCACCCUGCCUCUCCUCUCCUCUCCUCUCCUCCUACUUCUCUCUCUCCCUCUCUUUAGCUCUGCCUUUUGGAGCAGACUCUCUGGCGCCGGCGCCGUGACGUCACCCCAUUCACAGCAGCCCUCGAGCCAGCCCUCGCGGCGCCGCUGAGGCGGUUUCCAUGGUAACCGGGUUUCGGGGAUGUCAGUCCGAGGUGGUUCUCAGCUGAUCAACCCGGGGCAGGAUUAGCGCCCGGACGCGGGUUCGAGUCCGGGCUAGUCCCUCUUUACACACACGGACCAGUGAAGGAAUGCAACGAUCGCAGAGUUCUUCUACUGUAAAAAAAAAAAAAAAAGAAAGAAA